GACGAACGCUGGCGGCGCGCUUAACACAUGCAAGUCGAGCGAAGCGGCGGACGGGUGAGUAACACGUGAGUAACCUGCCUUAGACAUUGGGAUAGCCUCGGGAAACCGGGAUUAAUACCAAAUGGUCUAAGAUGGACUCGCGUCCCAUUAGCUAGUUGGUGAGGUAACGGCCCACCAAGGCGACGAUGGGUAGCCGGACUGAGAGUGAGAAUGGAGAUAUUGGAGCUGAGAAACGGUCCAAACUCUACGGGAGGCAGUAGUGGGGAAUAUUGCACAAUGGAGGGAACUCUGAUGCAGCGACGCCGCGUGAACAAAGAAGGCUUUGGAGUCGUAAAGUUCUUUUAUAUGGGAAGCGGUACCAUAAGAAAAAGCCCCGGCUAACUACGUGCCAGCAGCCGCGGUAAUAC
rnacentral:rRNA from 1 species